rnacentral:rRNA from 1 species
GACGAACGCUGGCGGCGUGCUUAACACAUGCCAGUCGAACGGAAAGGCCCUGCUUUUGUGGGGUGCUCGAGUGGCGAACGGGUGAGUAACACGUGAGUAACCUGCCCUUGACUUUGGGAUAACUUCAGGAAACUGGGGCUAAUACCGGAUAGGAGCUACUGCUGCAUGGUGGGGGUUGGAAAGUUUCGGCGGUUGGGGAUGGACUCGCGGCUUAUCAGCUUGUUGGUGGGGUAGUGGCUUACCAAGGCUUUGACGGGUAGCCGGCCUGAGAGGGUGACCGGCCACAUUGGGACUGAGAUACGGCCCAGACUCCUACGGGAGGCAGCAGUGGGGAAUAUUGCACAAUGGGCGGAAGCCUGAUGCAGCAACGCCGCGUGCGGGAUGACGGCCUUCGGGUUGUAAACCGCUUUCGCCUGUGACGAAGCGUGAGUGACGGUAAUGGGUAAAGAAGCACCGGCUAACUACGUG